rnacentral:rRNA from 1 species
AACGAACGUUGGCGGCGUGGAUUAGGCAUGCAAGUCGAACGCUAAUCCCUGGUCAACUGGGGAGGAGAGUGGCGAAAGGGGCAGUAAGGCGUGGGUAACCUACCCUCCGGGCCGGGAUAGCUUCGGGAAACUGAAGGUAAUACCGGGCGACGCAGCGAGAUCGCAUGGUCUUGCUGCCAAAGGUCCGCCUCCGGGGGAGGGGCUCACGUGGUAUUAGCUAGACGGCGGGGUAACGGCCCACCGUGGACAAGAUGCCUAGCAGGUGUGAGAGCACGGCCUGCGCCACUGGAACUGAGACACUGGCCAGACCCCGACGGGUGGCUGCAGUCGAGGAUCUGCGGCAAUGGGCGAAAGCCUGAACGCGCGACGCCGCGUGUGCGAUGAAGGCCUUCGGGUUGUAAAGCACUGUCGAGGGGGAGGAAGCCGCAAGGUUGACCUAUCCCUGGAGGAAGCACGGGCUAAGUUCGUG